CCUACGGGGUGCAGCAGGCGCGAAAACUUUACAAUGCUGGCAACAGCGAUAAGGGAACCUCGAGUGCCAGGUUACAAAUCUGGCUGUCGAGAUGCCUAAAAAGCAUUUCAUAGCAAGGGCCGGGCAGGACCGGUGCCAGCCGCCGCGGUAA
rnacentral:rRNA from 1 species